rnacentral:lncRNA from 1 species
AAGGCAACAAUAAGUAAUCUCCUGCAAAGGGAAGGCUGUGAAAGCAUCUUUUGAGCUGGUUAAAAAUGGGCAAUUAUCAAUUUCAUUUUGACAUGAAUGAGAAGGAGGAAUGUUCUGUACAUGCUUUAAUCUUCUAACAUAUAUUUUAUAAUAAAAAAAUCAAAACACCUUAAGAUAUAUUUGGUGAAUAUUUAACUAAGUCUGUACUAGCACAAACAAGUUUUCACCACUGAAAGAAUUAUGCCUCAUGUCUUUGCUUUAUCCUUUAGUUUUUACAGAAUGCUAAUGGUUUUGUUAGCAGACAAUGGUCUAGUAUUUAUUUAGGAAAAAAUAUGUCAGUUGGGAAGAGGCCACACCUGCAUGAAAAUAAUAGAGGAUGCAGCUUUCUCCAGAGUUGGGUCCGAGUGGGUGCUGCAAAAGGCAGUGUCAGUGAAGAAAAGCACCAACUCUUUGCCAGGGGCAGACUUUUUCCUGAGCAGCUCGAUCAGACAAGGAAAAUGGAGUGAGCUGAAGAAGACGAGAGGGACUCCACUGUGGAUUCAGGAGAGCAGCACUGGGUUGGCUCAGCCUUUUGAGGAGUGGAAGCAGCUUUUCAGAAAGCAGCCGAGUCCAGACUUCUGCAGGAGUGCAGGCAGAGGAGGCAGUACUGUGCAAUGUCAACAAUCAAAAUGGAAAUGCAGGCACUGUGAAGACCCGGUUCCGGCUUGGAGAAGGCAACAUGCAGGUGCAGCCCCUGUAACGUUACGUCAGCUGUUCCGAAGGAGGCCUGGCAAGAACUUGGCAAGGAGUUGGCAGGGACUUGGCAAAGACCCAGCGUGGACCCAGCACGGGCAGCCUGCUGCAAUGACCACUUCAUGCUCCAGCUUUAACCCGAAUGAACUGUUGGGGUGACUCUGGUGGUGUCUCACUGAAGACCCCUCAUCUCCCUCAUUACCACCGUGACAGACGGAGAUCAAGAACCCUCUCCCCAAGGACUGAGACUGAGACCCCUACCACAGAGGGGGGUAGGGGUAUCAGUGGUGGGGGGGAGAAUGACAUGACCUGUUCUCCUCCAGUAACUUCAAUGGACUUAUUCUUCAUUGUGUUCAUCCUACCUGGAUGAUUACACCUGUUCCCCCCACAGCAAUUUCAAUAAACUCUCAUUGUUCUUUAUGUUCCCCCCUUUU